GAUGAACGCUGGCGGCGUGCCUAAUACAUGCAAGUCGAACGAAGAGGGGGCGGGUGAGUAACACGUGGAUAACCUCCUAUAAGACUGGGAUAAGUUCGGGAAACCGGAGGUAGACAGUAUACUUGUAUGUGGAUCCGCGCGGCAUUAGCUAGGUGGUAAGGUAACGGGUUACCAAGGCAACGAGGCAUAGCCGACCAGAGAGGGUGAUCGGCCAAACGGGAACUGAGAGACGGUCCAAACGCCUACGGGAGGCAGCAGGAGGGCAUUUGGCGCAAUGGGCGAAAGCCUGACGGAGUAACGCCGCGUGGGUGAGGAAGGUCUGCGGAUCGUAAAAUUCUGUUAUUAGGGAAGCGGUACCUAAUCAGAAAGCCCCGGCUAACUACGUGCCAGCCGCCGCGGUAAUUC
rnacentral:rRNA from 1 species